UGCAGCUUCUGAUAGGCCAC
rnacentral:siRNA from 1 species